UCGCUCCACCCCGGCACGGGGGACCUAUCUGCUGGGAAAGGGUCGUGCUGACUCACUGGGUGGGAUUUGGUGCCUAAAUAUAGGUGUCCAGGGCCACCCGAGGUGUCCCGGAGUACCCCGCCUGCUCCCCAGCUGGAGCCUUGGGGCAGCAAGGUGCUGAAAAUAUGACAUGACAUCUCCCCGGUGAGAUCUUUCAAAAGGAAAAACAAGAGAUGUAAUAGAAAGCUUCAAAUAAAGUGGGAAAUGGCAAUAUCCUGUGGGAACGGGGGUGCAGGCAGCUUUCUGGCUUAUUCAGGUUUGGGUCUUUUUAUUUACAGUUUAUUUUUCUUUUUCUGAGACCUGCGAGGAUGAUAAAAGCUGCCUCAGUGUCUCAGAAGGGCUCGGGCCUCAUCCCAAACUAUGGACUACCCUAGAUGAUACCUGCACAGGGAAGUUGUGCCAGAUACCCGAGCCCAGCGACAGAGAUCAUUCCCAUGCAGAGACCACUCUGGGGACAUAACUGCUUUCUUCAUAUGUUUAUCCUUAACUCUUUACCAGUUUUUUUUCCAGGCUCUGGUCCUCAGGGUGCUGGUUGAACUUGUGCUCUUCUCCCUCCCGUGACACUGGAAAGCCAGACAGCUGCUUCAGGGCAUGAGCUGAAAACUGGUACCUGGAUGAAGUUUCUGAAUCACAGGAGACUGCUGGGAAAAUUGGCCUCCAAGGAGAAAAUGCACAUGUAGGAGCAGGGCUCAUCUGGAAGCUGGGAUGCUGCCAGAUUGGAUCCUACCACCAAAGGCUACUCCCACGGAAACUUCAGGAGCUGACCUAGAGAACAUGCACCAAGAGGUACUGCAGUCUUUUAUUCCAGUACAUCUCUUCUCUGCCCCAGCAACUCAGCGUACUAUUUUUGUACUAGCCGUCCUGCUGCCAGUACCCAUCAGAGCUGCUUGCAGCUGGUGCUGCCGCCAAUAGGGACACACAGGGGAGUGAAAGUCACUGGGACACCAGGUCCCACCUGGUUCUCGGGGACCCCUGAGGAGCCAGAGGCAGGGUCUGACCUGCAGCAGAGAUGAGCAACACUUCCAGAGCCCCAGACACCAACACAGAGGUGCAGAUAUAAAAGGAGAGGCUGAGAAAAUCACCCUGGUACUGACAGGCUGACAAUGGUCCAUCACCUCCUCAGCACUCUGGUGGUGAGCCCAUGCUUUCCUUGCUUUCUCCCCAUGGUUUGUGUCCUCCCACGAUGUCAGUUGGUGUCAGGUAUGCCUUGGCCUCUUUCCUGCGACCUUCCUAUGGGACUAUUAAGGAAAACAGAUAAUUUUUUUUCUAUUUACCAGUGGCCGACUCACAUCAAUAAAUGAUCCUUGCCACGACUUGCAAGUAAAUUUGCUCUCUCCUCCUGAGACCUUUUCCCGUGCAUAUCUGAAGCAUGUCUUAUUUACCUUAACCUCUUGCGCGAUAAUUCUUUCACGCUUUGCCUUUGCUUUUGUGUGUGUGUCUGUGCAUGCACACGUGCGUGUCCUUCUCGCCAUCCUUCCCCUCUGCCCCGCAGCAUCUCCCUCCCUUCUCUGACGUGCUACCCUUCGUGUAGGCCUCUUCCUUAUCCUUGAUUACCUUCUGCACUCCCGUACCCAUCUGCGGUGCCCCAGAUUAACUCCUGAA